rnacentral:rRNA from 1 species
AUUGAACGCUGGCGGCAUGCCUUACACAUGCAAGUCGAACGGUAACAGGUCUUCGGAUGCUGACGAGUGGCGAACGGGUGAGUAAUACAUCGGAACGUGCCCGAGAGUGGGGGAUAACGAAGCGAAAGCUUUGCUAAUACCGCAUACGAUCUCAGGAUGAAAGCAGGGGACCGCAAGGCCUUGCGCUCACGGAGCGGCCGAUGGCAGAUUAGGUGGUGGGUGGGAUAAAAGCUUACCAAGCCGACGAUCUGUAGCUGGUCUGAGAGGACGACGAGCAACACUGGGACUGAGACACGGCCCAGACUCCAACGGGAGGCAGCAGUGGGGAAUUUUGGACAAUGGGCGCAAGCCUGAUCCAGCCAUGCCGCGUGCAGGAUGAAGGCCUUCGGGUUGUAAACUGCUUUUGUACGGAACGAAAAGACUCCUUCUAAUAAAGGGGGUCCAUGACGGUACCGUAAGAAUAAGCACCGGCUAACUACGUGCCAGCAGCCGCCGUAAGAC